rnacentral:lncRNA from 1 species
GCGAGCGUACGGUCCAUGAGGUGAACAAUCACGUGAAGGCUGGCCCUAGCCCCAGGCGGGAACACAAAUAUCGGGGUGCAGCCAUGAUGAGCUCUAAAUGAAUAUAUGCAUGCCAAUAUGAUGCAAUAAUUCCAAUCUCAAAGUAAACUCACCUGAACUUAUCUACGCAUACCGUAGGAUCGUUUGGCAUUUCACGAUUUCUUAACAAUGCAACAUUUUAAAUAUAACAUUAUUGAAUCAUGGCAUGAUAUGCAUAACUCAGUUCAAAGCAUUUGUGGAAACUAUAAAGUUUAUAUAUAUAUACACACACACACACACACUAUAAAAAGGAAAAAGACCCAUUCACCUAAGGUUAGUGCUAUAACUCCUUAACACGAAUAUCGAGGCGUCACGAAUGAUCGUUGUCUAAAACAAAUAUUCAGUCACGUUUAAGAAUUUUUAUCGAUAGAACACGUAACUUACAUAAAACACAUCCCCAAAGAUGUUUUAGAAUGAUUUGAGACCCAUUGACCAAAAGUCAAUCGUUGGUCAAAGAUCGACGGUAGGGUCCACAACCCUACAUAACUCAAUCCGGAAGAUCCGCAUCACAGAUAUCAUAUCUGUAACUUCCAAAGAUACUCAUUAUGCUUCUAAAACAUCAUACUAAAGUUUCAUUACGAUCCAACGGUUGGAUAUUCGCCAAUUGCAAAUUCAAUUGGCGGUUAACGUUUUAUUUUAUGAACUAACAAAUCCGAUUCGGGAAGAUCC